rnacentral:lncRNA from 1 species
GAAAAUGUCCUACAAUGUGCAUUUUAUUCCAUAUCAUUAUACAAUGUUUACAUAUAGUUAAAACUCUCAAGAAAACGUCCUUUACCAGUUGUAUGUGGUGUCUAAAUCUUUAACAUGAAGGACUGAAAAGAGUGGAAAUCCACACUGAUUGUUAUCCUACAGAUUGUCAUGAGCUGCACGUGUGCCAAUCAGAAAGGAAUGGAAGUCUCGGAAGAGCAGCGUGGCUUACAGACCCUUGGCUUUAGUGAAUUCAGGCAUGCGGGAUCCAUAGUCUCAUCUUGUAGUAAAACUCAAGACAAAAUAAAUUAGUGUUGGACAGAGUUCUACAUUGUACAAUGUUGAACAAAAGACCACAGGGGGACCUUUUGUUCAAAGUAGCACCAAUCCACACCUGAUUGUGUUUCCAACAUUAACCUUCCUGUUGACUCUAUCAUUGGCACUUUGAAUGGAACUUCUUCUGCUUUAGUGAGGAUUCCUACGCUGACUAAGCACACUGUGUUGCUAAACUCUCUACAAAGUGUGGCAGCAUCAACCCGGGAAAUGGCACAUUUGAACCAGGAUCGCCCUGACAUGGGCUUGCCUUUUUGUAUGUGUUUUCCCCACCCCCUGACCUAGCUGGUAUCUUGUGGAUGUUUCUGUGACAGUGGUAAAAGUAAAUAAAUUGCAUUUAAGGGGUAAGCAGGUGUUUAAAAACAAAACAAAACAAAACGAAAGAAUGUGGUCGCAGCUAAGGAGGUUUUCACAUGUUGUUUAACUCCAGUAAAGUCUGAUCCAGCAUCUGAUGCAUACUAAGGUUUUCUUCUUUGUCAUCAAUGCUUUUCUCCAAUUUAGUUACUGACCUCUCCGCAAACUCAGCCCGAGUCUCAGCCUGUAAUGAUUUAUUUGAGUUAAAGUUGGGAAGUUUUAUGUUUCCUGUAGCUACAAACAUAGGGAAAACUAGAGGAUGAAAAUGAAGCACAUCACCUAUAAAAUGGAUCAGAAACUACUUGUCAGUUUCAGUCACCUCUGUGAGAAAUGGCAGUUAGCACAGUACAUAAACUCCAAGGCGACCUUUGAAUAUUCCUGACUUGGAUCAUUGGAACUUUAAAAUGAAAAGGCCCUGACCGGUUCCAUGAAAACAAACUCAUUUAAAAUCCAGUUGGCUUCAUCCACAACUCUCAUAUUACCUCCUUCAGCUUGUCGGAAAGGACCUUGAUCUCUUCCUCAUAUCUGUCUUCCUUCUGCGAGUACUGUAAUUAGAAAGAGCAUUCCAGAUGUCAGGCUGCAGCUCAAUCUACUCAUGGCUUCUCAUGCAAAGAACUCGCCAGCUCAGCCAACAGAUGUUAAGGAUCUCUUAGGAGGUAAUGGAACCUCUGAUAUCAAAUGGCACACUGCAAUACAUUCUCUGCUUUCUUGCCUAUUGUUUUACAUGGGAUAACAACAAGAUAACUUAUCCACUUGGCACUUGGUUUAAAUUAAAUUGAUGCCUCAUAUCCCUAACAUAAAAUAAAUUCUCUAGUUAAAAAAAAGAAUUUGUUAUCUAGUAACUCUCCAAAAAUCACCUCACAAUAUUGCCAUUUUACUAAAAUGUCUACUGUAAGUGUUGCUUUCUGGCAGGGCCUCUUUUGAGCAGCUCUUAAAAGAUGCCUUUCCCCCACACCAUCCUCCUGGCCUACCUUCUCAGCCUGAGCCUCCAGUGACUUCAAGUUGUUCGUCACAGUUUUCAAUUCUUCUUCAAGCUCGGCACAUUUGCUAAUGUUUUCGAUCAGAGGCAGAAAGGGUGGGAGACAAGCCAAAGGAAGGAGGAGAGAAAAAGGAGAGGGAUGGGAAAAAAUGAAAACUGAGUCCUAGAGACGAAGGGCUGCCUUAAAGUAGCCAAAUCAUCAGGUAUUAAAAUGUUUAGGUUUUCCAGGAACACUGCCCCCCAACCUCGCAACAGCAGAAGGCAGGGUGACCAAAUCCAACAACUUUGAAGUGCGAUAAUUUGGCUCCUUUUUUGGCUGCCCAAAGAGCAUUUAUGAAGGGAAAACAAAGGAGCAUAAAGGACCAAGGGAAAGCACUUAAGGCAAGAUAUAAAUAGCAGAGGGUGAAGUGAAGGUGCAGUCGUUAUACCAAACGAACCAGGAGGCAUUGGAAGCUGAAAGAUGUCUGGGUUGCAGUUAAACCUAAAAACCACACGAGCCAUCAGUACCUUAUCCUCUGCAGCCAUUAAUGCUUUCAAGGUCUGAUCCAUUAUUCUUAAUUGUUCUUCCAGCUGUCGGACUUGGCUGUUAGUGGACACAGGAAAUGCACAAGGCCAUUCACAAAAUCAGUGUGCAGGUAAGGCAUGCAGUGAUACACGCAUUCAUACAUAAGACACCCCACACGAGUCCUCCAUGUUCCAUACUCGUGGCUCAUCCACAUCAAAUGAGCACAAAAGGAGCCCGGAGCUGAAACAGGUAAUGUGCAGCUGCCAGAAGGUCAUGCUGUUUAGUCACUGCUCUGCAGCACCCCAUUCGUGGCCUCCUGGCGCCGGGCCCGCUUACCCUUCUGAGAGCUCAGCCCGCUCCUCUGCACGUUCCAGGUCGCUCUCAAUGAUGACCAGCUUACGGGCCACCUGCAGCAGGAAGACACAACACACACACCAUGGGUCUUGCAAGCUUUGUGUAACAGAAGGGCAUGGGGGUAGAGAUCAGAUCCCAUCAGGCCCUAAGGGUUUUGUCUACAAACAAUAUGAUCCUCUUUCUGGUAGACCAGAGAGAAGCAACUCUCUAUUAGGAGUGCCAGCAGAGAGGAGAUCAGAGGCUUCUGCUUUGACUCAGAAUGGUUAGCUGUGAUUGGGCAGUCUCAAUUGGAAGUCUGACCUAGGUGAACCGGCAGCCAGACCAAAAUGUGGAAGGAGGGAUAAAAUACACAUUCACAAUCUCAAAAACAGCAGUAGGAUGAGACAUGUACUAAAAAGGUGGGGGCUGCCAGGAAAACAAAGUAAACCUAAGAACUCCAUCAAUUUGAUGGCUGAUCUGUGCAUCUACCUCCUUACUGCAGUGGAAGAAUACAAGAGACACUAACGUGAGACAAGUUGGUGAGAUAACUGACAAAAUCAAAUUUGUAUUUAGUGGAAGAACCAGAGAGAGGAAGGGAGCCUCUGAAGCAGAUCAAAACUUGUGAGCAUAGUGUAAUCUGAAGGUAAUAAUGGUAAUAAAAAGGAGGGGCAAUGCUGUUUCAGGAUAGCCACGAUGUGAUCCAAUAAGGAAAAAACAGAAACCUUAAUAAUCAAGUUGCCUCUUAUCACAGGAGGCUGUUUUCAUGGGGACACGACCAGGAGCAAAUUCUGCUGAAAACCUGCGUUGAUAAUAGUUUUCUACCACCCUUGAGGAGAGAGGCCUCUGUGAAUCCACUGAGAAACUGUCUGUGGUCUCUAAGCUGCCCAAUCUGGAUGUGCCAGGUCACUCUGGGAAGAAAUGACUUGCACCAUGACAGCAUGAGAGCCUCCUUUCACAAGACACAGGGCCCAACUCUCCCUUCCGGCCAAAGAUCUUUUGUCCGGGUCUUUGUGGCUGGGGGAGAGGAGUUUUGGUCCUUCUUCGCAGUGCUACUGAUUGGCUUCCUGAUAAAGCCUGGGAUCCCCUAGCAGGAUUAAAAUUAGAACCGUUUUCUGGACACAAAGGAACUCUGCUUCUCAAAACCACCCAUUUCUGCCAACAAAGCAGAUGGCCUCACUCGGGAAUCAAGACUGUACAUUGCUCCCUGGCUUCCUGAAGGCCACUGCUGGGUGUCCACAAGGCUUUGGGCCCCAGGAUCUGACCUCUUCAUAUUUGCGGUCGGCAUCUUCAGCAAUGUGCUUGGCCUCUUUCAGUUGGAUCUCCUGAAUUUCCAUUUUUUCUUCAUCUUUUUGGGCUCGACUCUCAAUGACUUUCAU